rnacentral:sRNA from 1 species
GAAAUAAUGAAAAAUAAAGAUAUGCCU